rnacentral:rRNA from 1 species
UACGUAGGGUGCAAGCGUUGUCCGGAAUUAUUGGGCGUAAAGAGCUUGUAGGCGGUUUGUCGCGUCUGCUGUGAAAUUUCGGGGCUCAACCCCGAACUUGCAGUGGGUACGGGCAGACUAGAGUGUGGUAGGGGAGACUGGAAUUCCUGGUGUAGCGGUGAAAUGCGCAGAUAUCAGGAGGAACACCGAUGGCGAAGGCAGACUCGCUGGGACGUGGACUGACGCUGAGACGCGAAAGCGUGGGGAGCAAACAGG